CGCCAAAUUUUAUCAAUUGGCGUAAAUUUGGUUCCUAAGACAACAGAACAAUGGUUAGAGGUGCAAAAGGAUUUUAACGAUAAGUGGCAGUUCCCUUUCUGUUGUGGCGCUAUUGACGGGAAGCACGUUGUAAUAGAUAACCCACCGCAUGGAGCAUCGGAUUACUACAAUUACAAGGGUACUUACAGCGUGGUGCUAUUCGCCAUAGUCGAUGCACACUACCGUUUUUUAUAUAUUGAUGUCGGUACGAAUGGGCGCAUGAAUGACGCAAGCAUUUUGAAGAAGUCCCGAUUUUAUAAAGAACUGCAGGAGGAUGAGUUGGGAUUACCAACUAAGGGUGUCUUCGUUGGCGAUGACGCGUUCCCCUUAACAACGAGGAUCUUGAAGCCGUAUUCCAGGCAUGAUGCAUUGCCUCACAAGGAAAAGAUUUUCAAUUACCGGCUGUCGAGAGCUAGACGGAUUGUUGAAAAUGCCUUUGGAAUAAUGGCUUGUAGAUUUCGAGUUUUUCGAAAGCCUAUAUCUGUGUCCCUAGACAAAACCGACAGCAUAAUUAAAACGGCAUGCGCACUCCAUAAUUGGCUCCGGACAAGCAAUUUAAAUGAAACUGGCUUAGUCGAUCAGGAAGACAUAAACACAGGAGCAGUUCAGCAAGGAAGUUGGAGAAGCAUUCCUUCAGGGGGCUUACAAGAACUAACGACGCAAUUGUCUUCAAACAACUACUCGAGAAGUGCAAAGGAACUUCGCGAUAAAUUCGCUAACUAUUUUGUAGGGUCAGGAGCUGUUCCUUGGCAAGACAAAAUGGUUUGUUAAGCCAUUAAGUUGUUCUUUUGUUUGUUAGUUUUCUAACUAAACUUGACUAAAUCUAAACUUGACUAAAUCUAAACUUGACUAAAUGUAAACUUAUUCACAUUAUAUGCAUUAAAAAUUGAAACUGGAAAACUAAAUAUUUAGUUUAAUUUUCAUAUGUUGAUAAAAUCACGAAGAGUAUCAUUUCUUUCUAAUCAAGGUUCGUAUAUUUAUGCAUAAGCGCAUGAAUCAAAAUAUAAAUCAAUGCUGAGUUGAAACUCGGCACAAUUUUUCUUUAAAAGCUCCACAUGUAAAUGUGUUGUAAUCUUUGGUGGCGGUGCAGGGUUCUCAUGUCAAAUGUCAAAACGAAGUUACUAUAAAUAAAACCUUGAUGCAAUAAUGAAAGGUGUUAUAGGUUGGUUUUGCAUUUAUUAGGCCAUUUCCUUACUGUUUCCUGGCCGACCUGUGCUGGUAUUGUGAUUAAGAGCUAAUACACCAUCCUCUGGGGAACUGCAGCUGCAGCCGAAUUUGAUUGUGUGCACCAUCGUGCAGAUGAAUUUUUCCUGUUGCGCCUUUGUGCGCGUUGGAGUAAGUUGCAAACCAUUGGAGACGGUUAAGGUGUGUCGGACAGGGGCCAAAGUUAAGAUUCCUCUAUGGAGACUCAAAAAAUUAAUAUUAUUGUUUUCAUCUAGUACCUAAAAUCGCUACUACUAUAGCGACUCCAAUCGGGACCAAAAUUUAUAUGUGCUACCAAA
rnacentral:misc_RNA from 1 species